GCCCCUGUAGCUUAACGGUUAAAGCUCCGGACUUAUAAAUCGGCGACUCUGGGUUCAAGUCCCAGCGGGGGUA
rnacentral:tRNA from 1 species